UUUGGACCUGGAAGGACAGAAGACAGUUCAGACCCAUUGUUUAUGCAUUCACAGGAAAACCGCUGCCCUCUAGUGUCUGCCUGAGGAAAUGUAUUAAGUCCUGAGGGAAAAUGGAAAUUGGUUCAUUUGGCAGCCAGGUACCAAUGGUUGGUACCACCACGACUCUUGAGACAGACGUAGCGGCGGAAAGCGGCGGGACGGAGAGAGUACCGGGAUGUGAUGAACCCAGACACGGAGACGGGAUUACGAUGCUUCUGUAGAGAUUUUUCAAAGAAAUAAAUCUGAUGUCCAAACAUC